rnacentral:rRNA from 1 species
GUGAACGCUGGCGGUAGGCCUAACACAUGCCAGUCGAACGGCAGCACCGUAAGAGCUUGCUCUUACGGGUGGCGAGUGGCGGACGGGUGAGGAAUACAUCGGAAUCUACUUUUUCGUGGGGGAUAACGUAGGGAAACUUACGCUAAUACCGCAUACGACCUGCGGGUGAAAGCAGGGGAUCUUCGGACCUUGCGCGAUUGAAUGAGCCGAUGUCGGAUUAGCUAGUUGGCGGGGUAAAGGCCCACCAGGCGACGAUCCGUAGCUGGUCUGAGAGGAUGAUCAGCCACACUGGAACUGAGACACGGUCCAGACUCCUACGGGAGGCAGAAGUGGGGAAUAUUGGACAAUGGGCGCAAGCCUGACCAGCCAUACCGCGUGGGUGAAGAAGGCCUUCGGGUUGUAAAGCCCUUUUGUUGGGAAAGAAAAGCAGCAGGUUAAUACCCCGCUGUUCUGACGGUACCCAAAGAAUAAGCACCGGCUAACUUCGUG